rnacentral:rRNA from 1 species
CAAUAGCGUAUAUUAAAGUUGUUGCAGUUAAAAAGCUCGUAGUUGGAUUUGUGGCGUACGGUGUGUUCCGGGCACUUGUUGUCUGAGUAACCUGCUGUUGCCAUCCUUGGGUGGAACCUGUGUGGCAUUAGGUUGUCGUGCAGGGGAUGCCCAUCAUUUACUGUGAAAAAAUUAGAGUGUUCAAAGCAGGCUUAUGCCGUGGAAUAUAUUAGCAUGGAAUAAUGAGAUAGGACUUUUUUGCUAUUUUGUUGGUUUGCGCAAAGAGGUAAUGAUUAAUAGGGACAGUUGGGGGUAUUCGUAUUCCAUUGUCAGAGGUGAAAUUCUUGGAUUUUUGGAAGACGAACUACUGCGAAAGCAUUUACCAAGGAUGUUUUCAUUAA